CCCUUCUUUCCUCUUCCUCCAUCAUUUUUGCCCUUAGCCGACGCCACCACAGCAACACACGGGCGAGCCCUAGCGCCGGCUGCCCCUUUUGCACAGAGAGGUCGUAGCGUGGAGGACUGGUGGUGCGACAUUCUAGCCGCAAUUAGACUGAAGGUGAUUGGAGAGGCCGCACAGUGCUCUAGUUUCCCUUGCCAAAGCAAGACCAUCGUCCAGUUUACUGUCGCUGUUGAUCAGUGCUGUCAUCGUAAGGAGAAGGAGCAUCGCUUAAGGGAUUAGGCCAACCUUCCCUUUUCUGUGGAGUCGGGAAGAAUUUGCAGAUCUCACACAAGAGGAGUCCACGAUCUCUUCCUCUUCACUGCCCAGAGUCAGGGUGUUGGCGAUACAGACAGAACCUAGAGAGCAGUGAAAGGACCUUGACGCGAGACGAGUAUCUCGACGUCGUGUUCGGACCAGAUUUGACAUUUCCUAUUGGAGACGGGUACUUUUGACUUAUUGUCUUUGAUAUGCUUAGUAAUGAAAAUAAUAUGUUGCAUUAAUUGUGUUUCCUAUUUGUUUCGGUUAAUCACUGCCCAAUACAUGUUACCUGUUUGAUUAAUUGU